GAUGAACGCUGGCGGCGUGCCUAACACAUGCAAGUCGAACGGAGCUUAUGAAGUUUUCGGACAGAGUAAGCUUAGUGGCGGACGGGUGAGUAACGCGUGGGUAACCUGCCUCACACAGGGGGAUAACAGCCGGAAACGGCUGCUAAAACCGCAUAAGAUUGUAGUACCGCAUGGUACAGCAAUAAAAUAUUUAUAGGUUUGAGAUGGGCCCGCGUCUGAUUAGCUAGUUGGUGGGGUAACGGCCUACCAAGGCGACGAUCAGUAGCCGGCUUGAAAGAGUGUCCGGCCACAGGUGGACUGAAACGAGGCCCCAACUCCGACGGGAAGCAGCAGGGGGGAUUAUUGAGCGAUGGGGGAAAUCCUGAUGCAGCUACGCCGCGUUAGAGAAGAAGUAAUCCGGUAUGGAAAGCUCUAUCAGCAGGGAAGAAAAUGACGGUACCUGAGGAGAAAGCCACGGCUAACGACGUGCCAGCCGCCGCCGUAAUAC
rnacentral:rRNA from 1 species